rnacentral:rRNA from 1 species
AUUGAACGCUGGCGGCAGGCCUAACACAUGCAAGUCGAACGAGUGGCGGACGGGUGAGUAAUGUCUGUGAAACUGCCUGCUGGAGGGGGAUAACUACUGGAAACGGUAGCUAAUACCGCAUACCAUCAGAUGUGCCCAGGUGGGAUUAGCUAGGUGGUGGGGUAACGGCUCCCCAAGGCGACGAUCCCUAGCUGGUCUGAGAGGAUGACAAGCCACACUGGAACUGAGACACGGUCCAGAAUCCGACGGGAGGCAGCAGUGGGGAAUAUGGCACAAUGGGCGCAAGCCUGAUGCAGCCAUGCCGCGUGUAUGAAGAAGGCCUUCGGGUUGUAAAGUACUUUCAGCGGGGAGGCGUUACCCGAAGAAGAAGCACCGGCUAACUCCGUGCCAGCAGCCGCGGUAAUUC